UGGGGAAUUUUGGACAAUGGGGGAAACCCUGAUCCAGCCAUGCCGCGUGAGUGAAGAAGGCCUUCGGGUUGUAAAGCUCUUUCGGCCGGGACGAAAUCGCACGGGUGAAUACCCCGUGUGGAUGACGGUACCGGAAGAAGAAGCACCGGCUAACUACGUGCCAGCAGCCGCGGUAAUACGUAGGGUGCGAGCGUUAAUCGGAAUUACUGGGCGUAAAGCGUGCGCAGGCGGUUUUGUAAGCCAGAUGUGAAAUCCCCGGGCUUAACCUGGGAACUGCAUUUGGGACUGCAAGGCUUGAGUACGGCAGAGGGGGGUAGAAUUCCUGGUGUAGCAGUGAAAUGCGUAGAUAUCAGGAGGAAUACCGAUGGCGAAGGCAGCCCCCUGGGUCGAUACUGACGCUCAUGCACGAAAGCGUGGGGAGCAAACAGGAUUAGAUACCCCCGUAGUCC
rnacentral:rRNA from 1 species